CGGGCCUACGGGACGCAGCAGUGAGGAAUAUUGGUCAAUGGGCGGGAGCCUGAACCAGCCAAGUCGCGUGAGGGAAGACGGUCCUAUGGAUUGUAAACCUCUUUAGGCGGGGAGCAAUGCCGGGCACGUGUGCCCGGAGGGAGAGUACCCGCAGAAUAAGCAUCGGCUAACUCCGUGCCAGCAGCCGCGGUAAUACGGAGGAUGCGAGCGUUAUCUGGAUUUAUUGGGUUUAAAGUGUGCGUAGGCGGAUUUUUAAGU
rnacentral:rRNA from 1 species